GUUAUAUGGUCAAGUGAAGAAGCGCAUACGGUGGAUGCCUUGGCAGUCAGAGGCGAUGAAAGACGUGGUAGCCUGCGAAAAGCUUCGGGGAGUCGGCAAACAGACUUUGAUCCGGAGAUGUCUGAAUGGGGGAACCCAGCCAUCAUAAGAUGGUUAUCUUACGCUGAAUACAUAGGCGUAAGAGGCGAACCAGGGGAACUGAAACAUCUAAGUACCCUGAGGAAAAGAAAUCAACCGAGAUUCCCUUAGUAGUGGCGAGCGAACGGGGACUAGCCCUUAAGUGGCUUUGAGAUUAGCGGAACGCUCUGGAAAGUGCGGCCAUAGUGGGUGAUAGCCCUGUACGCGAAAAUCUCUUAGUCAUGAAAUCGAGUAGGACGGAGCACGAGAAACUUUGUCUGAAUAUGGGGGGACCAUCCUCCAAGGCUAAAUACUACUGACUGACCGAUAGUGAACUAGUACCGUGAGGGAAAGGCGAAAAGAACCCCGGAGAGGGGAGUGAAAUAGAUCCUGAAACCGUAUGCGUACAAGCAGUGGGAGCCUACUUUGUUAGGUGACUGCGUACCUUUUGUAUAAUGGGUCAGCGACUUAUUUUCAGUGGCGAGCUUAACCGAAUAGGGGAGGCGUAGCGAAAGCGAGUCUUAAUAGGGCGUCUAGUCGCUGGGAAUAGACCCGAAACCGGGCGAUCUAUCCAUGGGCAGGUUGAAGGUUGGGUAACACUAACUGGAGGACCGAACCGACUACCGUUGAAAAGUUAGCGGAUGACCUGUGGAUCGGAGUGAAAGGCUAAUCAAGCUCGGAGAUAGCUGGUUCUCCUCGAAAGCUAUUUAGGUAGCGCCUCAUGUAUCACUGUAGGGGGUAGAGCACUGUUUCGGCUAGGGGGUCAUCCCGACUUACCAAACCGAUGCAAACUCCGAAUACCUACAAGUGCCGAGCAUGGGAGACACACGGCGGGUGCUAACGUCCGUCGUGAAAAGGGAAACAACCCAGACCGUCAGCUAAGGUCCCAAAGUUAUGGUUAAGUGGGAAACGAUGUGGGAAGGCUUAGACAGCUAGGAGGUUGGCUUAGAAGCAGCCACCCUUUAAAGAAAGCGUAAUAGCUCACUAGUCGAGUCGGCCUGCGCGGAAGAUGUAACGGGGCUCAAACCAUACACCGAAGCUACGGGUAUCACGUAAGUGAUGCGGUAGAGGAGCGUUCUGUAAGCCUGUGAAGGUGAGUUGAGAAGCUUGCUGGAGGUAUCAGAAGUGCGAAUGCUGACAUGAGUAACGACAAUGGGUGUGAAAAACACCCACGCCGAAAGACCAAGGUUUCCUGCGCAACGUUAAUCGACGCAGGGUUAGUCGGUCCCUAAGGCGAGGCUGAAAAGCGUAGUCGAUGGAAAACAGGUUAAUAUUCCUGUACUUCUGGUUAUUGCGAUGGAGGGACGGAGAAGGCUAGGCCAGCUUGGCGUUGGUUGUCCAAGUUUAAGGUGGUAGGCUGAGAUCUUAGGUAAAUCCGGGAUCUUAAGGCCGAGAGCUGAUGACGAGUGUUCUUUUAGAACACGAAGUGGUUGAUGCCAUGCUUCCAAGAAAAGCUUCUAAGCUUCAGGUAACCAGGAACCGUACCCCAAACCGACACAGGUGGUUGGGUAGAGAAUACCAAGGCGCUUGAGAGAACUCGGGUGAAGGAACUAGGCAAAAUGGCACCGUAACUUCGGGAGAAGGUGCGCCGGUGAGGGUGAAGGACUUGCUCCGUAAGCUCAUGCCGGUCGAAGAUACCAGGCCGCUGCGACUGUUUAUUAAAAACACAGCACUCUGCAAACACGAAAGUGGACGUAUAGGGUGUGACGCCUGCCCGGUGCCGGAAGGUUAAUUGAUGGGGUUAGCUAACGCGAAGCUCUUGAUCGAAGCCCCGGUAAACGGCGGCCGUAACUAUAACGGUCCUAAGGUAGCGAAAUUCCUUGUCGGGUAAGUUCCGACCUGCACGAAUGGCGUAACGAUGGCGGCGCUGUCUCCACCCGAGACUCAGUGAAAUUGAAAUCGCUGUGAAGAUGCAGUGUAUCCGCGGCUAGACGGAAAGACCCCGUGAACCUUUACUAUAGCUUUGCACUGGACUUUGAAUUUGCUUGUGUAGGAUAGGUGGGAGGCUUUGAAGCGUGGACGCCAGUCUGCGUGGAGCCAACCUUGAAAUACCACCCUGGCAACUUUGAGGUUCUAACUCAGGUCCGUUAUCCGGAUCGAGGACAGUGUAUGGUGGGUAGUUUGACUGGGGCGGUCUCCUCCUAAAGAGUAACGGAGGAGUACGAAGGUGCGCUCAGACCGGUCGGAAAUCGGUCGUAGAGUAUAAAGGCAAAAGCGCGCUUGACUGCGAGACAGACACGUCGAGCAGGUACGAAAGUAGGUCUUAGUGAUCCGGUGGUUCUGUAUGGAAGGGCCAUCGCUCAACGGAUAAAAGGUACUCCGGGGAUAACAGGCUGAUACCGCCCAAGAGUUCAUAUCGACGGCGGUGUUUGGCACCUCGAUGUCGGCUCAUCACAUCCUGGGGCUGAAGCCGGUCCCAAGGGUAUGGCUGUUCGCCAUUUAAAGUGGUACGCGAGCUGGGUUUAGAACGUCGUGAGACAGUUCGGUCCCUAUCUGCCGUGGACGUUUGAGAUUUGAGAGGGGCUGCUCCUAGUACGAGAGGACCGGAGUGGACGAACCUCUGGUGUUCCGGUUGUCACGCCAGUGGCAUUGCCGGGUAGCUAUGUUCGGAAUAGAUAACCGCUGAAAGCAUCUAAGCGGGAAACUAGCCUCAAGAUGAGAUCUCACUGGAACCUUGAGUUCCCUGAAGGGCCGUCGAAGACUACGACGUUGAUAGGUUGGGUGUGUAAGCGCUGUGAGGCGUUGAGCUAACCAAUACUAAUUGCCCGUGAGGCUUGACCAUAUAACACCCAAGCAAUU
rnacentral:rRNA from 1 species